rnacentral:rRNA from 1 species
CUUGGUCAUUUAGAGGAAGUAAAAGUCGUAACAAGGUUUCCGUAGGUGAACCUGCGGAAGGAUCAUUAUCGUACAACCGAGGCACGAAGGCUGUCGCUGACCUUUCAGAAAAAGGUCGUGCACGCUCGAGUGUCCUCGCACAUCCAUCUCACCCUUCUGUGAACCACCGCGUAGGCCCCUCCCCUUCAAAGGGGGGCUUGCGUUUUUACACAAAUACUUUGAUGCAGUCUAGAAUGUAUUAUCUCUUUGCGAUCACACGCAAUCAAUAUAACUUUCAACAACGGAUCUCUUGGCUCUCGCAUCGAUGAAGAACGCAGCGAAAUGCGAUACGUAAUGUGAAUUGCAGAAUUCAGUGAAUCAUCGAAUCUUUGAACGCACCUUGCGCCCCUUGGCAGUCCGAGGGGCACACCCGUUUGAGUGUCGUGAAACCCUCAAAACCCUUUCUUUAGUAGGAAAGGAUUUUGGACUUGGAGGCUUGAUGCUGGCUUUCACUUUUGAAAGUUUGCUCCUCCUAAAUGGAUUAGUAGGUGUCCCAUGUGUUCGAUCCUUGACGUGAUAAUGAUGUUUCUACGUUUUGGGUCUUAUAUAGGACACCCGCUUCUAACCGUCUUAUAGACGACGAUGGUGUUCCGGUCGACUGCCAUUUUGUUGGUGGAAGGCUUGACCCACAAAGAAACCUUUUGACCUCAAAUCGGGUGAGACUACCCGCUGAACUUAAGCAUAUCAUAA